GGUGACACCAAGCCAUUGGUUUCAAUAGUCUGGUUUGAAGUUGAGAGAGAAGUGCAUCAUGCUACCUCUCCAAAACGCUUGCAGAAAAGAAAAGUGGAAAUCCAUCUAAAAGCAGAGUUGCAGUGUUCCUCAUGGCCCAUUCAAGACAUCGUUGUUCUCACAAACUCUUCAAACUUCUCACCCAGGCUGCUGGGCAUUGCAGAGUCUGGUCUGGAUCACUGAGGCUCACAUUAGACACUAUUUGAAAAGGAGUGCUGUUUCAUUCUACAGACCUUACACUACACAGGACAAUUAAAUGUGGUGCCAGAGAAGAGUGGGAGAAACAGAGCCUGCUGAGCCAACUUCAAUGAACUGAUAAAAAUGACUAUAAUUAGUGGCACCAAUUUCCAUAUUCCAUGUUAAAAACCAUGGAUUUGGUUACAAAGAUUAAACAUAUUCCUUACAAUGUUAUUUUCCCCUUCUACGGAGAGCACACUUAAUGGCUAAUCAAGGCUGAGUUCUUAGUGCCUGGAUUUUUCAUGUGCAUAGAUUUGUAUGUUUCACAGGUUCCUAAAUGUUACAAGUCAGAGGCCAGAGCAAUGUGAACUGAGCUCACAGAAUUACCACUGCCAGUCGAGACAUUCCAACAUGUUUUUCUGACAUAUCUGUGUCAGUUGUCA
rnacentral:lncRNA from 10 species